AUGGGAAACAAAUUGCAGAAC
rnacentral:siRNA from 1 species